AGAUGCCUCGGCUGAAAUUGGAGAAGCAAAGGAAGGCUAAGCAAGAUUAUGAGAAUUAAAGGGAUGCCAUUGAAGCUGUUCAAAACCGUAUUGAUGCAGCUAAAGCAUAACCAAAGUAAGGAAGAAAUAUCGGAGAAAGGAAUGGCAGAAAGGUUAAUCUUUUGAUAAUAGUAGGAGGACAACUACCGUCUUCAGUUCAAAUCCUGGUGGAAUCUUCAUUCAAAGUUGCGAUUUUCGUUCUGCUGCACUUUCUCAAACUCACAUCUUUGCAGCUAUAGCAGAGCCCUUCACUCCUCGAUGUAUUAUUUUGAAUGAAGACCAAGCUCAUGUCUCUUAUUUGAACAGCAAAUUUCCACAGCAUUGAUGGAUCUAUAUGUGUGCAUGUUUCUUGAUGCCAUCAA